GCCGACCCCGGCCGCGGACUUCCCGCAGCGACCGGGGCUGCCUCGGCCGAAGCCGCGGAGAACAGCAGGGCACCGCGCGGCCGCAGACGUCUCUUGCAGCCGGGCGGCCACCCCGGCCACCCACCCGCCCCCGGCGCCCCCAGGCUCCCCGCGUGCCCAGGCUGCGCCUCCUCGCGCCGCGCCUCCCCACCGCCGGGACCUGGCGACGUCACUGCGGCUCUGACGCGCGCUAAUGGAGGCACGGGCGGCGGCGGCGUGGUGCGGGUGUCCCCCGGGGAGGUCCCGGUCCUUGCAGCCCGCGGCCGCGUCCUUGGCCCUCCUCCAGGGGAACCUCGAUUUUUCCAAUCUCAGGAAGGCCGGCUGUCCUUCGGCUACUGAUAAGGACGCGACCGCAUGGUAAAAGAUUUUAACAAUGCCCGGAAAGAAAUAGCCGGACCCAAGAAAGAGACUAAUAAUAGCAGCCCGCUAGAGUUCUGCUCGUGUGCUCAGCGCUCUUAAGAACAAUAAUAACGACAACAACCAUAAGAGCCACCAUUUAUUGAGCGCUUACUCUGUGCCAGGCACUGUGUUAAGCGUUUUGCAGGCAACAACUCUCGGAGCCCUGAGAGGAGUACACCAUUAUUCUCCUUUUGAUAGAAGAAGCCACAAGACUGGUAAAUGGCAAUCUGGGCAUCCACCGGGAGGAUCUAAGUUUAAUGCCAUGUUCCCAUCACCGGAAUGUACAAGCUGAUUCAACUGAACAGAAGAGGAACUGAUGUCCGGAAGUAAGCAGCCCAGUCUGGUACAGUAGCCCCGUGACCAUCAGGGACCCAGGCCCCCUCUACCUGGGGCUCUCCAUCGUCAGCGCAUGCCUUCCACUAGGGACCCAAGACAGCCGAUGGAGGAAGAAGCAGCCAAGAAGAGAGAGCCCUGUCUCCUCAAAGGACGCUUCCUAGAAUUCACAUGCAUCACGCCUGCUUGUACCACACUAGCCAGAACUAAGUCCCACGCCCCCGCCCCCGCCCGAGGAAAUAGGAUUUAUCUGAGUAGAGCUUUUAUUACUAUAGGAAAAGGGAAGAACAGAUUUUGGGGGGCUAAUUGGCAUCUCUACCACAUUUUACAAACAUCUUUCCAGGACACCUAGUUGUAUAUUCCAUUUUUUCUCUUAUUUUUUGGUGAAUGUUUGACCACAACAUUAAAUAUACUUCCAUUUUUAAUGGCUGCCUCAUAUUCCAUAGUGCGCAUGUAGCAUUACAUAUAGAUCCAAUGCCUUCUUGGGGCGCCUGGGUGGCUCAGUCGUUAAGCCUCUGCCUUCGGCUCGGGUCAUGAUCCCGGGGUCCUGGGAUCGAGCCCCACGUCUGGCUCCCUGCUCAGCGGGAAGCCUGCCUCUCCC